rnacentral:rRNA from 1 species
UACGUAGGGGGCGAGCGUUGUCCGGAGUUACUGGGCGUAAAGGGCGUGUAGGCGGUUGGAUAAGUCUGGCGUGAAAUCCCAUGGCUCAACCAUGGAACUGCGCUGGAAACUGUCUGACUGGAGUUCGGUAGGGGUGACUGGAAUCCCCGGUGUAACGGUGAAAUGUAUAGAUAUCGGGGGGAACACCUGUGGCGAAGGCGGGUCACUGGGCCGCAACUGACGCUGAGACGCGAAAGCGUGGGGAGCAAACAGG